AUGCUCUCCAUUGCAAAAAAUUACUCAAUAUGUACAAUGCGUACAAUAAUAAUCACGGAACCCUCUAGCUCCUUUAUGAUUCCAUGGUUCCUUGUCCUUGCAAUUGUUAGUAUUAUUUGUACCACCUGUAUCUCAUCAUGUGAUUUUUUUUCCCUUGCAAUUUUUGUGCCUGCAAGAUGUCAGGUAACAGUCUUUCAGUAUCUAAACAGAUGCAGUAACUAUGAUGUUGGUAUGAAAAUGUCCUACAGGUCAGGUUUCCAACUGUUGACAAUAGAUGUGCAGAUCGAUAGAUUGUGUUAA
rnacentral:rRNA from 1 species